rnacentral:rRNA from 1 species
AGGGGUAGCGACUGAUCCAGCCAUCCCGCGUGUAGGACGACGGCCCUAUGGGUUGUAAACUUCUUUUGUACAGGGAUAAACCUUUCUGCUCCCUCAGCGGUGCAGAAGGUACUGUACAAAUAAACACCGGCUAACUCCGUGCCAGCAGCCGCGGAUAUA